rnacentral:rRNA from 1 species
AUAGCAUGCAUGUUUAGUUUAGCACAUUAGUGUGAGACUGCGAAUGGCUCAUUAAAUCAGUUAUAAUUUACUUGAUAGUCAACCUUAUCAUUGGAUAACCGUGGUAAUUCUAGAGCUAAUACAUGCAACAAGCCUGACGCGAGGAGGGCUGUAUUUAUUGGAUACGAAACUGAUGGCGUGAUGCCUUUGGUGAUUCACAAUAACUAUACGGAUCGUAUGGCCUUGAGCUGACGACGUUUCAUUCAAAUUUCUGCCCUAUCAACUUUCGAUGGUACGGUAGAGGCCUACCAUGGUGAUAACGGGUAACGGGGAAUUGGGUUCUAUUCCGGAGAGGGAGCC